CCUACGGUGCGCAGCAGUAGGGAAUAUUGCUCAAUGGGGGAAACCCUGAACCAGCCAAGCCGCGUGAAGGUCAGUGCCCUAUGGGCGUUAAACUUCUUUUGUGCGGGAGCAAUAAUGGUCACGUGUGGCCAGACGAGAGUACCGUACGAAUAAGCAUCGGCUAACUCCGUGCCAGCAGCCGCGGUAAUACGGGGGAUGCAAGCGUUAUCCGGAUUUAUUGGGUUUAAAGGGUGCGUAGGCUGUGAGGUAAGUCAGCGGUGAAAUGCCCCCGCUCAACGGGGUGAAGUGCCAUUGAUACUGCCUAGCUGGAAUGCAGAUGCCGUGGGAGGAAUGUGUGGUGUAGCGGUGAAAUGCAUAGAUAUCACACAGAACACCGAUUGCGAAGGCAUCUCACGAAUCCGCGAUUGACGCUGAUGCACGAAAGCGUGGGUAUCAAACAGGAUUAGAUACCCCAGUAGUC
rnacentral:rRNA from 1 species